rnacentral:lncRNA from 1 species
GACCACAUCAACCCAGUAGGAAUCAACUAUCACUAUUACAUUAGCAUCGAACGACAAAAGAAAAAAUUGCCAAUUAUAUGGAUUAUGAAACACCUUAAAUACUAACUUAAUAUUUCCUGUUUUACAAUAUUAUAAAAGUACAUACAAAAUUUACAUUAGACUAUUUUAUUUCAGGUCUCCCUGCAUCUCAUUAAAUCCCUCUUUCCAAACAGACACUUUGUAUGCAUCCAAAUCUAAUGUCGGGUCCAUGAAAUAUUGGAGUCAAGAGAAACGGGCAUUUCAAAAGAAUUAAUUCUCAUCGCAGCAAUACAUUAGCACUUGAUAUGCAAUUCAAUGUGAUUGCACUCAAGGAUUCACUAACAUGCCAUCUGAGAGAUCAUUGAGAAUUGGCAGUCUCGGUAUGACAGCCAGUUUUUAGAAAGAGCAGCCAAUAAAAAGGUUGGAGUAGAUUAAUAAAUGUAUCUUGGACUAUAUAUAGAUUAAAUCAAUAGUUUUCUUGAUGUAUAAUAUAAAACCAUAGUUGAAGUUUCAUCCUACUCCUUUAGACAUAGCUGUUUCCUACAAGCAUCAUGUGUUGCUGGUAUAUGGAAUUAGGAUGUAAUAUCAAAUGAGAACUAGCAAUGUAACAGCAAAAAUUUAACGUUUGCCCCAGGCCCC